rnacentral:rRNA from 1 species
UACGUAGGGGGCAAGCGUUGUCCGGAAUUAUUGGGCGUAAAGAGCGUGUAGGCGGUCCGGUAAGUCGGCUGUGAAAGUCCAGGGCUCAACCCUGGGAUGCCGGUCGAUACUGCCGGACUAGAGUUCGGAAGAGGCGAGUGGAAUUCCCGGUGUGAGCGGUGAAAUGCGCAGAUAUCGGGAGGAACACCUAUGGCGAAGGGCAGCUC